CUUCCAUGAUACACAGUGAAGGCAAGUAACUCUAAAGGAAAGAAGAUUGCAAGAGAAGAAGAUAUUCUCUUGUACCCUCUAUUAGGAGGUCCGCGUAAACUGAGUACAAAUCUCUCUCGUAGUCAUUAUAUUACAUAGAUCCCCAAAAUGUCAACAUUGCCAGGUGACUUCAAACACAG